rnacentral:rRNA from 1 species
CCUACGGGGAGCAGCAGUGGGGAAUAUUGGACAAUGGGCGAAAGCCUGAUCCAGCCAUGCCGCGUGUGUGAAGAAGGCCUUCGGGUUGUAAAGCACUUUCAGUGGGGAAGAAAGCCUUGGGGCUAAUACCCUCGAGGAAGGACAUUACCCACAGAAGAAGCACCGGCUAACUCCGUGCCAGCAGCCGCGGUAAUACGGAGGGUGCGAGCGUUAAUCGGAAUUACUGGGCGUAAAGCGCGCGUAGGCGGUCUGAUAAGCCGGUUGUGAAAGCCCCGGGCUCAACCUGGGAACGGCAUCCGGAACUGUCAGGCUAGAGUGCAGGAGAGGAAGGUAGAAUUCCCGGUGUAGCGGUGAAAUGCGUAGAGAUCGGGAGGAAUACCAGUGGCGAAGGCGGCCUUCUGGACUGACACUGACGCUGAGGUGCGAAAGCGUGGGUAGCAAACAGGAUUAGAUACCCCAGUAGUC